GCAAACUUGGUCAUUUAGAGGAAGUAAAAGUCGUAACAAGGUUUCCGUAGGUGAACCUGCGGAAGGAUCAUUAACAAAAUCACAACAACAACCCUGUUGAACUGUUUGGGGUGGGUGGUAGGUGUCUGGUGGAGGUAGGUAGGUGGGUGGAUAGGGAGGGAGAGGGUCAGGUAGAGGUAGGUGGUCGAGGGGGGGGGUCUCCCCUUCCUUGCCUCCUCCUUUGCCCUUUGCCUCCCCCCUCCUUUGCCCUCCUCCUCCUCUCCUUGCUUGCCCCCCCCCUUUGGCUCUGGCCAUAUAGUAGACUAUUGAUUAGACAGAUGUAUACCUAGGGGUAUGAUGAUGCAUGUCAUCUCUUCUAACGUUAACAACUUUUAACAAUGGAUCUCUUGGCUCUUGCAUCGAUGAAGAACGCAGC
rnacentral:misc_RNA from 1 species